CAUGUCCUUUUGAAUUUAAUUUAAGGUCUGAUCUGCUCAAUGAGUAUUUAAAUAGCCGCAGUAUUUUGACUGUGCAAAGGUAGCAUAAUAAUUAGUUUCUUGAUUAGAAACUGGAAUGAAUGAUUAGACAAGAAAAUUUCUGUCUCUUUUUUAAUUUUAUUGAAUUUUAUUUUUAAGUGAAAAAGCUUAAAUUUAUAUAAAAGACGAGAAGACCCUAUAGAGUUUAAUAUAUUAAAAUGAAAAAAUAAUUAGAAAAUUUAAUUUUAUUUAAUUUAUUUAAUUGGGGUGAUUGGGAGAUUAAAUUAAUUCUUUUAUCUAAUAAUUGUUAAUUUACAAAUUUCAUAUCUAUUAAUAAUAAAUAUAAAAUAAAUUACCUUAGGGAUAACAGCGUAAUUUUUCUUUAAAGUUCUUAUUGUAAGGAAAGUUUGCGACCUCGAUGUUGGAUUAAAAUUAAUUUUUGGUGCAAUAACUUAAAAAUUAGGUCUGUUCGACCUUUAAAAUUUUACAUGAUCUGAGUUUAAACCGGUGUGAGCCAGGUUGGAUUCUAUCUUUAGAAAAUUAGAUAUGUUUUAGUACGAAAGGACCAAACAUAUAUUAAAUUAAUUG
rnacentral:rRNA from 1 species